GAAAGAUGAAGAUGCCUUCAGUCUUAGUCCUCAAACCCCGUUCAUUUAGAGGUUUUGGAUUUUGGAUUCUAAUCAUUAUCCUAUUUCUCUUCAAUCAUUACUCUCAUUUUUCUCUCUAUCUCUCUCUAAUCAUUACCCCUAUUUCCAAUCAUUACUCUAUUUCUCUCUACACUCAUUACCUAUAAAUCCAAAGCCAAAAUCCCAAAAUGAACGGGGUCAAGUCAUUUGACUGCAAUGAAGACCUUAUUUUUGAACUUUUACUUGUAAGAUUGGGGACCUUACCUUUGAACUUGAUUAUGAAAAUUUUGAUUAAAUUUCAGAAAUCUUAUAGCUAUGGUGAUUAACAUUUAACCAGUGUCUCGCCCUCUCUUUUGCAGACAAGCCUUGUGUCCAUUUAUCUAACCCAAAUUGUAGAACAAGGGUUUGAAUCUUGUGCAAUCUUGGUGUGUCAGAAGAUAAUGUGCUCUGUGAUUAAUGGAAUAUAUGAAAGAUCGGAGGUGGAAGGAUAAGAUCAUUUCCUUUUCAUGACUCUUGUAUUAUGAACCAAAAAGCCUAACUUUUAUUAGCAUGGGAAUAUAUAUAAAUUGCAUAAGAAUAAGUAUCACCUUGAUGAUUACUUAACUCUCUUAUUUUCAGGUUAUGGCACUAACGAAGAAAUAUGUGGCGAUGAGAGUAUAAUGAAUGCCUCCGAAUAAUAUCUUUUAGAAGCUUGAAACUUAAUAUAUGAGAGAUUAAUAUGUUCCUAUAUAUCCAAAUGGAAUAUGCAAGGCCUUUGAGAUUGGAUGAUAGGAUGGUUUUUGGGUUAGUUUAGGAAAAAGGAAAAGGAUGGCACUUUAGCUUAAUAAUUCAGAAUCAGAUCAUAGGUUUAAAGAAAAAAAAAGGUUUUUAAAAUUAGAUAGACAGAUACUUCCAUUCUUCUAGUAGCAAAAAAAGCUUGGGAUUAAGGUAGAGGUGAGUAGGGUAUGUUUUUGAAGCAUCUUCACCUUGGCAUUAAUUUAUCUUCCACGUGUAAAGCAGUUGGGGUUGAUUAUGACACAAAAAACUCUUGUAAACAGAUUUUUUCCUGCGGUUGUGCAUUCAUGAUAAACACGUCAAGUGUAUAUUUAGGACCCAAACCGAUAUUGGGACAUACCAUCCCACAAAGAGAGCUUCAUGGAUUCAUGGAAGGUGAAAAGGUCGAGUGAAAUUGUUGAUAUACCCUCUGACAUGUUUGGCAUGAUGCAUGAAAUGUUGUUUUACCCAGCAUUAGUAAUGUUUAAUGAACUUGCAACAACUUUUUCCUAGUCAUUUCCAAGGAAAUUAAUAAGAAGUGCAGCUGGAUGUUAGGGCCUGACAUCUGUUUUCAUGUACAAUUCUGUUUCUGGUAUUACUUACUUGAAUCUUUUUUGUGUUUUGAUACUAAAGUGAGAAUCUAAAAGUCAUUUUUCAUAGUUGAAGGGGCAAUGGAGGGCCACAAGGGCACAACAGAACCUUUGUUGUAAUCAGGACAUUGGCAUCAUCUGCCAAUAAGAGCACCCUCCAAGCAUCAAAAUCUAGUUAACGAGGAACAGAUCUAGAUCAAUGGAAGUAAAAUGUAAAGUGAUGAUUUACAUGCCUGUAUGGAAUUUUUUUUGGCUGUUGUGUUCUUUCAUGGGAUUAGAUUCCGGAGCCAAAAUGCUUCUAAGUCAGAUAAUCCCUUCUUAGUUCUGACUGAUUUAGAUAAACUUGUGGGCAGGUAAUUUCUUUUCAGUAACCUAUCCAAAACGAAGGUCCGUUGAAAGGCAGCUUCUGUUUGAUGCUAUUGAGGACCCCUCAGGUCCUCAGGAACCACCUUGUGUGUCGGUUUCUACCAAGGUAUGACUGGCUUUUCCCAAUUUCUAUCACCUCAUAUGCCUCUUCGCUUUCAGCUAAUUGUCAGGAAUCAUAUCAAUUGCUUUUAAGAAAGAGAGCAAGUGUCAAUUUUGUCACUUAACCGUAUGUCUCUUAUCCUUCCUUACUGGGUCCUGAUUGCUCAAUCGUGGCUCUACUGGAAUAAAUCAUGCAAAAGCAGUGACAUGAAAGACGAAGAUGUUAUGUGCUUGUGGGAAGUUGGGAACAUCUUCAAUCUUAAUCCUCAAGUCAUUUGACGGCAACGAAGACCUUGUUUUUGACUUAAUCAUGACAGUUGUGAGUUAUGGCACUAACGCAGACAUACCUUGUGGCGAUGAGAAUAUGACUAAUACCUCCUAAAAAUCUUUCAGAAAUUUGAAUCUUCAUAUGUGGGAAGUUAUAAUCUUCUUCUACAUCCAAUGGAAUAUGCAAGGCCUUUGAGAUAGGAGGAUUAGAUGGUUUUUUCCUUUUUGGGUUAGUUGAGGAAAAAGGAAAAGCCAGCCACUUUUGCUUAAAAAUUUAGAAUCAGAACAUUGGCUUCAACAAAAGAAGCACCUCAACCUUGGCAUCUUCUCUAUCAAAUGCGAAGCAGUUGGGGUCGAGUAUUGUAAUCUGGAGUGGACAUAACAAACUCUGUUGAAUGUUUUGUCACCGGAUGUGUAUUCACGUUAAACACGUCGCGUGUAUGUUUAGGACCCAACUUUAGUCAGACACACCAUCCCACAUAGAGAGGUGUAGGGGAGGUGAAAAGGUCUAGUGAAUUUCUUGGUUUACCCUCUAACAUGUUUGACGAGUAGAUGAAUGAAAGGUUGUUUUACCCGUCAUUUGUAGUGUUAAAUGCACUUGGGAAAACAUUAUCCUAGUCGUGUAUCAGACGGUUAAUUAGUCCUUUCCAAGGAAAUUAACAAGAAGUUUAGUUGGACGUGAGGGCCUGACAUCUCUUCUCAUGUACGAUACUGUUUUCUGGCAUUACUUAUCGUCUCCUACAUCACUAGCAAAUACCAUGUAACAGGCGAAUUCAGCUGACUGAGGGUGUCUCACAUUUUAGUAUUCUACCAGACUCUUUGUUCACUGAAUACUCCAGAAAAACACCAAAACUGGUGUACAUAUUUGUGUCGUUGCGUGCAUGUUUGUGUGGGAGAGGAAGAGGAAGAGGAAGAGAUCAUGCAAAACGGCACAAAUAUUAUACAUGGAGCGCAAAUAUUUUCACAACAGAGAGUAAGAACACACAAGGUGACCAGAAAGAAAGGUACACUACAUAGUUGUUCUUUUGACAUACGGAACAGCUAUGUGGUACACAGGAACGUUUUGUUGCUAGUAUAAAACAGCUAGAAGACAAAAAGCACUUCAAUAUUUGGCUAUUUUCCCUUUCAUCUUUUUGUUUUUCAAGACUUGGGAAAGACCAGCAGAUUCAUGUUGCUUCCCAACAUUUAUUAGCUCAACGGAGAAAAUUCAUACUGUUUCCCCAAAACACCAAAGUUGUGAUGCUUUGUUUCUGUAAUAGCUACUGCUUCAUAACUUUGGGCUCCUCUGUAGCGACAAAUAACGGGAUCUUCGGUUGGGGGAACCACAUGCCUAAGAAAUGGAAUCGGGGGUCGAUGUUGAGCUUCCUGGUGAGGUGGCAGCGGAGGCAGCUUCUUCUUUUUCCGGCCGGUGUACUCCUCCAAAAUAGCGAAGGCUUCCUUUCCAAUCUUAAUAAGAUCUGCUUGACGUGCCAUGGAAAUUCAACAGCGCACAAACUUUGGAGAACACUUGAAAUCUGUUAUGUGUUUUGAUUACAAAGGUAAGAACCAAGAACCCCUAUAUAUAGAUAUCAGAAAACACUCUUCCUUUCCUCUUCUUUUGGAUUCUAAUCAUAUUUGAAGGGCCACAAUAUUGGAGGGCCACUAGGCCACUCAAAACAGUUGCUGUUAUCCGAACAAUGACAUCAUCUGCUGACAACAGCACACUCCAACCCUCAAAAUCUAGAUCACGACAAAAACAGCUCUAGAACAAGAACCAAUCCAAAACGGAAGUCGGUUGGAACGCAUCUUCCUUUUGAAGCUGUCGACGCCCACUCAGGAACUGCCUCGUGUAUCAGAUUUACACCAUGGCAUGAAUGGCAUAAUCCAAUUUCUUUCAACUCAUAUAUAUGGUUCUUCACUUUUGGCUAAUUAUCAGGAACCAUAUCAAUUGCUCUCAAGGAGGAGAGCAAGUGGCAGUUUUGUCGCUUAACCGUGUGGGACUUAUCCUUCCUUAUGGGACCUGAUUGCUCAAUUAUGGCUCUACUGGAAUAAAUCUUGCAAAAGUAGUGAUAAGAAAGAUGAAGAUGUUAUAUGCUUGUGGGAAUAUCUUCAAUCUUAAUCUUCAAGUCAUUUGACUGCAAUGAAUCGUCGGACUUAAUCAUGAAAUAGUGAGAAGAUUUCAAAUAUGUUACAUAAUUAUGGUGAUUAAUCAGUCUCUGUCUCUAAGAAGCUAAAAUAAGGACAUGAGCCACAGACACACAAACACGGCAAUUCCUAAAAAAUUAGGACACGGACAUGUUGCGGACGCAUCAA